AUUUGCAGAAGUCGCUGUUGCUACACAAGACGUUUAAUCCAAGAUGGUGAUGGUAGGCCACGUGCAGAGGCGCUCAGACCUCUGAGCAGCGCAACUGCACAAGCCUCGCGAGAACUCCUUGCCUGUUGAGGAAAACCUCAAAUGCAGCCUCCGAGGGCCUGUUGGGAAGACUAUGGGUGCUAGAGUGAGAGCUCACACCUUUUCAGAACUGAACUCGAUAUUGUUUCAUUAGUACGAGUUACACCAGGAGGACACUUUUUGGAGCCUAACUGCCAAGGAUUGCUAACAAACUUUGGCCCACCCUGGCUCCAACAGGAAGACAGCAGAGACGUUGGGAGGUUUGUUUGAGGAUGCCUGGAUCUGGUUUCAGUUUACUGUGAUGGGGUACAAUGGCGUCAGCCUGCAGUUGAAUUCCGAGCAACUCUGCCCAACCACCUGAGAGUGGUGCACACACCGCAUUGCCCACAGGGUCGUCUGUACUGUUCAUCUGUAUCGUUGGGGGUUGAAGACAAACUCGCUGGAAUCUGCCUGCUGCCCCUGGCUGUCCUUCCUUCGGUGAAGGAUGCCCUGGAUGACGGGGACCUGUGGAUGAGAGGGAAGCCUCAACACUCUGCCCAUUGUCUCCCCUGAUUCCUGAACUAAGCAGUAGCAGAUGCACCAGCGCUUUUUGUGCUCCCAGCCUCCAAGAUUAACAGUAGAUUUUGCCUUGUCACUUCCGGUUUGGUAAAGAACGCUGAGCAGCCCUGAGAAGCCGCUGUUGCAGCACAAGAUGUGCAGCAGGAGCUGAGACCCAGAAAGGCCCAGGUAGUGAGGAUUAGCUGAUAAAACUGGUUGAAGAUGCUGGACCUGAAUUUCUGAAGUGAGCUUGAGGCACUUUGAGCCACUUAACCAGAUUCUGAGCUGCUGGUGAGAAGAGGAAACACUGACUUCCACCCUCUAGAGGCAAACCUUGGGUGUUUCUUCAUCGUUGGAGGUUCUUCAGGCUCUUCUCCCAGCAAUAGCACAGACUACCAGCUGCCCCAGUGAUCUGAGUACAUUGGACCAUAAACAAAAUGACUUUAAGAAUGAUCAUCAUGGUGACAUCUAAACAAGACUGGAAACCCAAGAUCAAGUUGUUGCAAGUUUUAUUUCUUCUGAGUUCAUUCUUCUUGAUGUGUUGAUGGCAGAUUCUCACGGAAUCCUCACAUGAUCUUCUCUGUGUAUGUAUUUUUCACGUUUCUCUAGUCUUCCUAACAUCCUUUGUGUAUAAAGACAACAGGGAAAACAAAUAAGAGCCUACAAAGUGACCUAAUUUUAAGUUAAUCAUCUCUUUAAAAAAUUUAUCUUCAAAAGUAGUACCAUUCUACUCAUCUAGAGCAAAUAAUCCUGGAGUCCAAAUCAGAUAGGCUUUAGAAAACAUCACUAUGAACAAGACUAUACAGAAGAACUGUACAAAAAGAUCUUCGUGACCCAGAUAAUCACAAUGGUGUGCUCACUCACCUAGAGCCAUACAUACUGGAAUAUGAAGUCAACUGAUGUGAAUGCCUUAGGAAGCAUCACAACCAACAAAGCUAGUGGAGGUGAUGGAAUUCCAGUUGAGCUAUUUCAAAUCCUAAAAGAUGAUGCUGUGAAAGUGUUGCACUCAAUAUGCCAGCAAAUUUGGAAAACUCAGCAGUGGCCACAGGACUGGAAAAAGUGUUUUCAUUCGAAUCCCAGUGAAAGGAAAUGCCAAAGAAUGCUCAAAGUACUGCACAAUUGCACUCAUCACACACACUCGCAAAGUAAUGGACAAAAUUCUCCAAGCCAGGCUUAAGCAAUACAUGAAACAUGAAAUUCCAGAUGUUAAGGGUAGGUUGUAGAAAAGGUAGAGGAACAAGAGAUCAAAUUGCCAUCAUUCACUGGAUCAUGGAAAAAGCAAGAGUGUUGCAGAAAAACAUCUAUUUCUGCUUUACUGACUAUGCCAAAGCCUUUGACUGUGUGGAUCAGAAUAAACUGUUGUAGGAAAUGAAAAAAGACAUGGGACUACCAGAACACCUGACCCGCGUCUUGAGAAAUCUUUAUGCAGGUCAGGAAGUAACAGUUAGAACUGGACACGGAACAACAGACUAGUUCCAAGUAGGAAAAGGAGUAUGUCAAAGCUGUAUAUUGUCACACUGCUUAUUUAACUUAUAUGCAGAGUACAUCAUGAGAAAUGCUGCACUGGAAUAAGCACAAGCUGGAAUCAAGAUUGCCAGGAGAAAUAUCAAUAACCUCAAAUAUGCAGAUGACACCACCCUUAUGGCAGAAAGUGAAGAAGAACUAAAGAGCCC
ensembl:lncRNA